AACGAACGCUGGCGGCAGGCUUAACACAUGCAAGUCGAGCGCCCCGCAAGGGGAGCGGCAGACGGGUGAGUAACGCGUGGGAAUCUACCCAUCUCUACGGAAUAACGCAUGGAAACGUGUGCUAAUACCGUAUACGUCCUUCGGGAGAAAGAUUUAUCGGAGAUGGAUGAGCCCGCGUUGGAUUAGCUAGUUGGUGGGGUAAAGGCCUACCAAGGCGACGAUCCAUAGCUGGUCUGAGAGGAUGAUCAGCCACACUGGGACUGAGACACGGCCCAGACUCCUACGGGAGGCAGCAGUGGGGAAUAUUGGACAAUGGGCGCAAGCUUGAUCCAGCCAUGCCGCGUGAGUGAUGAAGGCCCUAGGGUUGUAAAGCUCUUUUACCAGGGAUGAUAAUGACAGUACCUGGAGAAUAAGCUCCGGCUAACUUCGUGCCAGCCGCCGCCGUAACAC
rnacentral:rRNA from 1 species